rnacentral:rRNA from 1 species
CACGUAGGGCGCAAGCGUUGUCCGGAAUUAUUGGGCGUAAAGAGCUCGUAGGCGGUCUGUUGCGUCCGCUGUGAAAACUCGGGGCUUAACCCCGAGCCUGCAGUGGAUACGGGCAGACUAGAGGUAGGUAGGGGAGAAUGGAAUUCCCGGUGUAGCGGUGAAAUGCGCAGAUAUCGGGAGGAACACCGGUGGCGAAGGCGGUUCUCUGGGCCUUACCUGACGCUGAGGAGCUAAAGCGUGGGGAGCGAACAGG